UAAUGACAAUAAUCGAAUGAUCUUGAUGAAUAUUUACUGUUAAGUUUUGUUAUCAAUAACGAUUCAAUGGAUUUUAACGAAAGAAUAUAAGAAUAAGUUUCAAAUCUAUACUUACCAGUGUGCAGCUGACAUCCUUUUCGAAAACUUGGAUAAUAUAUUAAGAUCCCACGCUUUAUUAUGAGAAAAACACACACACUUAUUUAAGUUAUGUCCACAAG
rnacentral:lncRNA from 1 species